AGUGUAAGAAAACUAUCAGACUCUUCUCCAUGGUCUGUGGGAAGACCAUGGAUUCUGAAAAGGCAUUUCUGAAAGAUCUCAGACGUUCGUCCAAACUCUGUGAGGUGAAAACUCUGGAGGAAAGCCACUUCAUCAUCGCCUUUGUCCCCGUCGUCUCUCGAGCUGGAACUGAUAUUGAAGCUGCUCUUGACCAGAUUCCUGAGUCCCGGCCUGUUGUUCUAGUGGUGCUCCAUUACACAUUUGCUGAAGAUUUCUUGGCUCCAGACAGCAGCGGGUGUGUUAACAGGGAGAAUGUGUUCACUGUGGACUGCGUGUUUAAUGAAGACCGAGGUCUGCUGAGAUGCCACCGCAACGACGAGGCUCUGAAAGCAGUAAAGAAGCAUCUGGAAGUGGAUGAGGACAAAACUAUGGAUGACAAUUUCACAAGCACUGAACACCCUAGCUUGACUCAGCAGUACCCAUCUCAGAACAGGACCUCAGUCUGCAGGCCUCAGAAUCAGACCUGCAGUAGGAGAACUUUGGUUUAUUUUGCUGUAAUUCUGUUUUUAGUGAUUCUUGUGACUUUAAUUGUGUUUCUUUAUGUUUCUCGUGACUCAGGACUUAUCUAGCAGAGCAGAAAAAGCCUGAAAUAUGAAAGUAAAUGUAAAUAAUCCAAUAUAGAAAUAUAAAUAUGGAGGGAGGGUGUUUGAGAGUGCUUUUCCCUUAAUGUAGAGUACAGGCCAAUAGUUAGGACAUACCUUCUCUUUUUCAAUGGGUUUUCUUUAUUUUCAUGACUAUGACUAUUAUUUUCCGGUGACUAUGGAGGUUCAGCUCAUUUUUUGUUAAGUACAUAAAACUCCACAUGUGUUCAUUCAUAGUUUUGAUGUCUUCAGUGAGAAUCUAUGUAAAUAAUCAUGAAAAUAAAGAAAAUGCACUGAAUGAGAAGGUGUGUCCA
rnacentral:lncRNA from 1 species